rnacentral:rRNA from 1 species
UACGAGGGGGGCAAGCGUUGUUCGGAAUUAUUGGGCGUAAAGGGCGCGUAGGCGGUGCGGUAAGUCGGGUGUGAAAUCUCGGAGCUUAACUCCGAAACUGCAUUCGAUACUGCCGUGCUUGAGGACUGGAGAGGAGACUGGAAUUUACGGUGUAGCGGUGAAAUGCGUAGAUAUCUGUAGGAACACCAGUGGCGAAGGCGGUCUCUUGGGGCAUUCUUGACGCUGAGGCGCGAAAGCUGGGGGAGCAAACGGG